ACCGGAAGGGGCGGGGCCGCCGCCUGGAGACUUGGGAAGGCCUGUGGGUGCGCUUGGCCUAGGCUGGCGUGCGGGGCUCCAGGCAGUGACCUGUCCCAGCCGGCCUGCUCGUGGAUGAGACCUCCAGGACCCAGCUUGCAGGCCCCAGGAGCCCGCUGUCCGCGUGGGAAAGUCCUCGACCAGAUGACCUAAUGACGGAUUCUGCAGAAGUGAAACCGUCCUUCGGUGGGAGGCGACAAGGGCCCUGGGACAGAGCCCACACAGGAGCCCUCCGCGUCCAGCCGCCGCUGUCUGAGCGAUGCUGGAGGAGCCUCUGGGCCUCCCUGAGCCCCACGUGCCCGGCUCAGCUGCAGGCAAAAAAUAUUAGAGCUGAUCCCAAGUUGCUUCAAAUGUGAAACAAGCCAAGUCAGAAAAAGAGCAGUUGGGCGAGAGAGACGUCGCUGGUUCAGACCAGGAAGAAGUUUACGGUCGACAGGCAGCUUGCCAGGGGAUGGAGAAGCAAACCGUGGUCCAUGCAAACAGUGGAAUGUCAUUCAACACUGAGAAGUAAUGAGCCGUCAGACUGGAGGAGCCCUGAAUGCACGUCGCUGAGGGGAGAAGCCAGUCUGAAAAGGCUACAGACCAUGUGACUCCAACUCCAUGGCCCUCCGGAGAAGGCGGAGCCAUGGAGACCCUGAAACAGUGCUUGGCAGGAAGGAUGAACAGAAGCAUCAGAGAACAAAAGUGCUCGUCUAGAUUUGCGAUCAAGAUGUUUUGGCUGCAGUUACAAAGGUUGCAGCACGGUGGAGCUUCGGGUUAGUGCAGUUCACAAGGUGCUUUCCUGUCCCCCCAGAAGUCAUGAGGGAAAAGUUUCACUUCCCACCCAGCAGAGAGGGCGGCUGCCCCUCCUGUUCUGCUCAGGAUACAGCAAUUGGGUGCCUUUUCAACAGGCAGGCUUGCAAAAAGAGCAGAAGCUUUGUUAUCUGCAGACAGACACAGCUUCAUUUUCACCUUUUCGCACUGAAAUCAUUUCAGAUCCCGGGAAUGUUGUGCAGACAGCUCAGAGGACCCCGAGCCCCCCACGGCUUCCCCAGACCCGCAUGUCUGGAAACCAGGGGAGGAGGGUUGGUAACGCCGCUAAAGGAACUGCAGGUCCGUCUGGGUUCCAGGUGUCCUUCCAGGUGUGCUGGGGGCUCCCCUGCCUGUCUUCCAUGGGCAGUGAGUGAGGAGACACACACAGCCCACGGCAGGGUCUGCGGGGAGCGGGACUGGGCCAAAGACUUGCCUCGCUGGGAGGAGGAGCAUUUUGAUCUACUCCCAUCAUGUGAGCGACCACAGACCCCAGAGGAUGGGACCCCUAGGGUGAAGGGGGAUCACGCACAGCCUUGGCCGCUCAGUCAGUGGAGGACUGACUCUGAAAGGAGGCUUAAAAUGUCCUCACAAAAAGAAAAGGAAAAGAGGGACUUCCCUGCUGGUCCCGUGGUUUGGAAUCCACCUUGCAAACCUUGCAGUGCAGGGGACGCAGGUUCUAUCCCUGGUCAGAGAACUGAGGUGCCCUGUGCUGCAGAGCAACUAAGGCCCAGAGCCGCAACCACCGAGCCCCCGCGCUCUGGAGCCGGCACGCCCCUGCAGGGUCCAUGCGUCACAAGUACUGAGUCCACGCGCUCCGGAGCCGGCGCGCCCCUGCAGGGUCCGUGCACCACAACCACCCAGCCGGCGCGCCCCUGCAGGGUCCGUGCGUCACAAGUACUGAGUCCACGCGCUCCGGAGCCGGCGCGCCCCUAGAGGGUCCGUGCGUCACAACCGAAGACCCUGCAGGACACAAGGAAGACGUUGUGUGCAGGAACUAAGACCCGACGGUCAAAUAAAUAAUUGAAAAGAAAUACCUCACGUCUUUUUUAAAGGCUUAUAAUUAUAGAUAUUUAUAACCAUUGUUUGUGUUUACAUGUUUAGAAAAGAAAAAAAUUUAAAUGUGGAAAAGGAAAAGUCCUUAUAUGGGUGUUUUCAGCCCACUCUCACUGCAUCACCUCUUCUAACGUUGCAUGUGCACCUCCAGGCCUCCAGGCACAGACAGAACUUUAC
ensembl:lncRNA